GUGCUCACUUCGGCAGCACAUAUAGUAAAAUUGGAACGAUACAGAAAAGAUUAGCAUGGCCCCUGCACAAGGAUGACACACAAAUUUGUGAAGCAUUCCAUAUUUUU
ensembl:snRNA U6 U6 spliceosomal RNA